UACUCCUACGGGAGGCAGCAGUAGGGAAUCUUCGGCAAUGGACGGAAGUCUGACCGAGCAACGCCGCGUGAGUGAAGAAGGUUUUCGGAUCGUAAAGCUCUGUUGUAAGAGAAGAACGAGUGUGAGAGUGGAAAGUUCACACUGUGACGGUAUCUUACCAGAAAGGGACGGCUAACUACGUGCCAGCAGCCGCGGUAAUACGUAGGUCCCGAGCGUUGUCCGGAUUUAUUGGGCGUAAAGCGAGCGCAGGCGGUUAGAUAAGUCUGAAGUUAAAGGCUGUGGCUUAACCAUAGUACGCUUUGGAAACUGUUUAACUUGAGUGCAAGAGGGGAGAGUGGAAUUCCAUGUGUAGCGGUGAAAUGCGUAGAUAUAUGGAGGAACACCGGUGGCGAAAGCGGCUCUCUGGCUUGUAACUGACGCUGAGGCUCGAAAGCGUGGGGAGCAAGCAGGAUUAGAUACCCUGGUAGUCCACGCCGUAAACGAUGAGUGCUAGGUGUUAGACCCUUUCCGGGGUUUAGUGCCGUAGCUAACGCAUUAAGCACUCCGCCUGGGGAGUACGACCGCAAGGUUGAAACUCAAAGGAAUUGACGGA
rnacentral:rRNA from 1 species